GAGUUUGAUCAUGGCUCAGAUUGAACGCUGGCGGCAUGCCUUACACAUGCAAGUCGAACGGCAGCACGGAGCUUGCUCCUGGUGGCGAGUGGCGAACGGUGAGUAAUGCAUCGGAACGUAUCCUGGAGUGGGGAUAACGUAGCGAAAGUUACGCUAAUACCGCAUAUUCUGUGAGCAGGAAAGCGGGGGACCUUCGGGCCUCGCGCUCUUGGAGCGG
rnacentral:rRNA from 1 species